rnacentral:rRNA from 1 species
GACGAACGCGGCGGCGUGCCUAAUACAUGCAAGUCGAACGCUUCUUUCCUCCCGAGUGCUUGCACUCAAUUGGAAAGAGGAGUGGCGGACGGGUGAGUAACACGUGGGUAACCUACCCAUUAGAGGGGGAUAACACUUGGAAACAGGUGCUAAUACCGCAUAACAGUUUAUGCCGCAUGGCAUAAGAGUGAAAGGCGCUUUCGGGUGUCGCUGAUGGAUGGACCCGCGGUGCAUUAGCUAGUUGGUGAGGUAACGGCUCACCAAGGCCACGAUGCAUAGCCGACCUGAGAGGGUGAUCGGCCACACUGGGACUGAGACACGGCCCAGACUCCUACGGGAGGCAGCAGUAGGGAAUCUUCGGCAAUGGACGAAAGUCUGACCGAGCAACGCCGCGUGAGUGAAGAAGGUUUUCGG